UACGGGGGGUGCGAGCGUUGUCCGGAAUCAUUGGGCGUAAAGAGCGCGUAGGCGGCCAGAUAAGUCCGGUGUGAAAGUCACAGGCUCAACCUGUGAAUGCCGCUGGAAACUGUCUGGCUAGAGUCCGGAAGGGGCGAGUGGAAUUCCUGGUGUAGAGGUGAAAUGCGCAGAUAUCAGGAGGAACACCAAUGGCGAAGGCAGCUCGCUGGAACGGUACUGACGCUGUGGCGCGAAAGCGUGGGGAGCAAACAGG
rnacentral:rRNA from 1 species